rnacentral:rRNA from 1 species
UUUUAAUUUUUAACUCUAAUUGUUGUGAAACUUUUUUCUUUUAUUUUUUUUUAUUUAAUGUUUUGUAAAAUAUUUAUUAUUUUUUUAUUUUUGUGAGAAGUUUUUUAAAUUUGUUUUAUUGAACUGGAUUAGUACCCAGGUAAUCAAAAUUUAUUAGUUCGGGAGUAAAGUUGUAUUUAAACCGAAAAAAUAUUGACUGACCUUAGAUUUUUUUUUGGAACAUGUUUUGGAGAGCCCUCCUUGGUAGUUUUUUUUUAGGUACAUGUAUGAUUGUUUAGUUUUUAUAUUAAUUUUGAGGCUUGUUUUUGUUUUAAAACAGAUAUAUACUUGGCUAAUAAAAGAUUUUUUAUGUGUUACUAUUUUUUAUUUAUCCGGAUGUAAUUUUUAUUAAUUAUUGAAGUUGGAAAAAAAAGUAAUUUUAUUUUAAUGUUAAAGUGAAUUAAAUAAAUGAGG